rnacentral:rRNA from 1 species
ACGGGUGAGUAACGCGUGAGUAACCUGCCUUUCAGAGGGGGAUAACAUUCUGAAAAGAAUGCUAAUACCGCAUGACAUAUCGGAACCACAUGGUUUUGAUAUCAAAGAUUUUAUCGCUUGAAGAUGGACUCGCGUCCGAUUAGUUAGUUGGUGAGGUAACGGCUCACCAAGACCGCGAUCGGUAGCCGGACUGAGAGGUUGAACGGCCACAUUGGGACUGAGACACGGCCCAGACUCCUACGGGAGGCAGCAUG